rnacentral:rRNA from 1 species
CGAAUGCUGACAUAAGUAACGAUAAAGCGGGUGAAAAGCCCGCUCGCCGGAAGACCAAGGGUUCCUGUCCAACGUUAAUCGGGGCAGGGUGAGUCGACCCCUAAGGCGAGGCCGAAAGGCGUAGUCGAUGGGAAACAGGUUAAUAUUCCUGUACUUGGUGUUACUGCGAAGGGGGGACGGAGAAGGCUAUGUUGGCCGGGCGACGGUUGUCCCGGUUUAAGCGUGUAGGCUGGUUUUCCAGGCAAAUCCGGAAAAUCAAGGCUGAGGCGUGAUGACGAGGCACUACGGUGCUGAAGCAACAAAUGCCCUGCUUCCAGGAAAAGCCUCUAAGCAUCAGGUAACAUCAAAUCGUACCCCAAACCGACACAGGUGGUCAGGUAGAGAAUACCAAGGCGCUUGAGAGAACUCGGGUGAAGGAACUAGGCAAAAUGGUGCCGUAACUUCGGGAGAAGGCACGCUGAUAUGUAGGUGAAGUCCCUUGCGGAUGGAGCUGAAAUCAGUCGAAGAUACCAGCUGGCUGCAACUGUUUAUUAAAAACACAGCACUGUGCAAACACGAAAGUGGACGUAUACGGUGUGACGCCUGCCCGGUGCCGGAAGGUUAAUUGAUGGGGUUAGCCGCAAGGCGAAGCUCUUGAUCGAAGCCCCGGUAAACGGCGGCCGUAACUAUAACGGUCCUAAGGUAGCGAAAUUCCUUGUCGGGUAAGUUCCGACCUGCACGAAUGGCGUAAUGAUGGCCAGGCUGUCUCCACCCGAGACUCAGUGAAAUUGAACUCGCUGUGAAGAUGCAGUGUACCCGCGGCAAGACGGAAAGACCCCGUGAACCUUUACUAUAGCUUGACACUGAACAUUGAGCCUUGAUGUGUAGGAUAGGUGGGAGGCUUUGAAGUGUGGACGCCAGUCUGCAUGGAGCCGACCUUGAAAUACCACCCUUUAAUGUUUGAUGUUCUAACGUUGACCCGUAAUCCGGGUUGCGGACAGUGUCUGGUGGGUAGUUUGACUGGGGCGGUCUCCUCCUAAAGAGUAACGGAGGAGCACGAAGGUUGGCUAAUCCUGGUCGGACAUCAGGAGGUUAGUGCAAUGGCAUAAGCCAGCUUGACUGCGAGCGUGACGGCGCGAGCAGGUGCGAAAGCAGGUCAUAGUGAUCCGGUGGUUCUGAAUGGAAGGGCCAUCGCUCAACGGAUAAAAGGUACUCCGGGGAUAACAGGCUGAUACCGCCCAAGAGUUCAUAUCGACGGCGGUGUUUGGCACCUCGAUGUCGGCUCAUCACAUCCUGGGGCUGAAGUAGGUCCCAAGGGUAUGGCUGUUCGCCAUUUAAAGUGGUACGCGAGCUGGGUUUAGAACGUCGUGAGACAGUUCGGUCCCUAUCUGCCGUGGGCGCUGGAGAACUGAGGGGGGCUGCUCCUAGUACGAGAGGACCGGAGUGGACGCAUCACUGGUGUUCGGGUUGUCAUGCCAAUGGCACUGCCCGGUAGCUAAAUGCGGAAGAGAUAAGUGCUGAAAGCAUCUAAGCACGAAACUUGC